GAUGAACGCUGGCGGCGUGCUUAACACAUGCAAGUAGAACGCACAGUUCAUACCGUACCUUGCUACACCAUUAACUGUGAGUUGCGUAAGGGUGAGUAACGCGUCGGUCACCUGCCUGGUAGUGGGGGAUAACUAUUGGAAACGAUCGCUAAUACCGUAUAAUAUUGGUUCUUGCAUGAUAAUUGUUUGCGUGAUGUUAUUGCAUCACUACUAGAUGGACCUGCGUUGUAUUAGCUAGUAGGUGCGGUAACGGCUAACCUAGGCGACGAUGCAUAGCCGACCUGAGGAGGUGAACCGCCACUCGGAGACUGAGACACGGCCCAGACUCCUACGGGAGGCAGCGGUAUGGAAUCGUCGGCGAUGGACGGAAGACUGACCGAGCAACGCCGGGUGAGUGAAGAAAGGUUGCGGAUCGUAUAACUCUGUUGUAAGAGAAGAACGGGUGUGAUAGUGGAAAAGUCACUCUGUGACGGUAUCUUACCAGAAAGGGACGGCUAACUACGUG
rnacentral:rRNA from 1 species